rnacentral:pre_miRNA from 1 species
AGCCUUCUGUAUCCGUGCUGAGAUUUCGUCAAACACCAGACCACAAGGGCUGAUGAGACUCCCAAAUGACACUGGCA